AUUGAACGCUGGCGGCAGGCCUAACACAUGCCAGUCGAGCGGAUGAAGGGAGCUUGCUCCUGGAUUCAGCGGCGGACGGGUGAGUAAUGCCUAGGAAUCUGCCUGGUAGUGGGGGAUAACGUCCGGAAACGGGCGCUAAUACCGCAUACGUCCUGAGGGAGAAAGUGGGGGAUCUUCGGACCUCACGCUAUCAGAUGAGCCUAGGUCGGAUUAGCUAGUUGGUGGGGUAAAGGCCUACCAAGGCGACGAUCCGUAACUGGUCUGAGAGGAUGAUCAGUCACACUGGAACUGAGACACGGUCAAGACUCCUACGGGAGGCAGCAGUGGGGAAUAUUGGACAAUGGGCGAAAGCCUGAUCCAGCCAUGCCGCGUGUGUGAAGAAGGUCUUCGGAUUGUAAAGCACUUUAAGUUGGGAGGAAGGGCAGUAAGUUAAUACCUUGCUGUUUUGACGUUACCAACAGAAUAAGCACCGGCUAACUUCGUG
rnacentral:rRNA from 1 species